AACAUGGCUCUUUGAGAUUUAUAUAUAAAGAGUCGGGCCUGCCCAGUGAUGUAUUUUUAACGGCCGCGGUACUCUGACCGUGCGAAGGUAGCAUAAUCAUUUGCCCUAUAAUUGAGGGCUAGUAUGAAUGGUUUGACAUGAGCAUAACUGUCUCCUUAAAAUUUUAUAAAAUUUGGUUUUUAGGUGAAGAAACCUAAAUUAAAUUGAAAGACAAGAAGACCCUAUCGAGCUUUAGAAUAAUUAGUUAAAAAAUAUAAAUAAAACAAUUAAUUUUAAUUAAAAACUUUGGUUGGGGCGACUGAGGAACAUGUAAAGCUUCCUUAAUUAAACAAUGCUGAUAAGCAAUGAUCCAGUAAAUCUGAUUAAAAAAAUUAGUUACCGUAGGGAUAACAGCAUAAUCUUUUUUGAGAGCUCUUAUCGAAAAAAAGGUUUGUGACCUCGAUGUUGGACUAGGAUAUCCUAAAGAUGUAGAAGUCUUUAAUGGUUGCUCUGUUCGAGCAUAAAAAUCCUACGUGAU
rnacentral:rRNA from 1 species